rnacentral:tRNA from 1 species
AGGGAUAUGUCUCAGUGGUAGAGCACUAGCCUAACAUGCAAGAAGCCAUGGGUUCAAUCCCCAGUACUA